rnacentral:rRNA from 1 species
AGAGUUUGAUCAUGGCUCAGAUUGAACGCUGGCGGCAGGCUUAACACAUGCAAGUCGAGCGGGGUGAUGGUGCUUGCACUAUCACUUAGCGGCGGACGGGUGAGUAAUGCUUAGGAAUCUGCCUAUUAGUGGGGGACAACAUCUCGAAAGGGAUGCUAAUACCGCAUACGUCCUACGGGAGAAAGCAGGGGAUCACUUGUGACCUUGCGCUAAUAGAUGAGCCUAAGUCGGAUUAGCUAGUUGGUGGGGUAAAGGCCUACCAAGGCGACGAUCUGUAGCGGGUCUGAGAGGAUGAUCCGCCACACUGGGACUGAGACACGGCCCAGACUCCUACGGGAGGCAGCAGUGGGGAAUAUUGGACAAUGGGGGGAACCCUGAUCCAGCCAUGCCGCGUGUGUGAAGAAGGCCUUAUGGUUGUAAAGCACUUUAAGCGAGGAGGAGGCUCUUUUGGUUAAUACCCAAGAUGAGUGGACGUUACUCGCAGAAUAAGCACCGGCUAACUCUGUGCCAGCAGCCGCGGUAAUACAGAGGGUGCAAGCGUUAAUCGGAUUUACUGGGCGUAAAGCGCGCGUAGGCGGCCAAUUAAGUCAAAUGUGAAAUCCCCGAGCUUAACUUGGGAAUUGCAUUCGAUACUGGUUGGCUAGAGUGUGGGAGAGGAUGGUAGAAUUCCAGGUGUAGCGGUGAAAUGCGUAGAGAUCUGGAGGAAUACCGAUGGCGAAGGCAGCCAUCUGGCCUAACACUGACGCUGAGGUGCGAAAGCAUGGGGAGCAAACAGGAUUAGAUACCCUGGUAGUCCAUGCCGUAAACGAUGUCUACUAGCCGUUGGGGCCUUUGAGGCUUUAGUGGCGCAGCUAACGCGAUAAGUAGACCGCCUGGGGAGUACGGUCGCAAGACUAAAACUCAAAUGAAUUGACGGGGGCCCGCACAAGCGGUGGAGCAUGUGGUUUAA